UACAAAUCAUACAGAAACAAAAAGAUUUAGAACUCAGAAAUAGAGUUUUUGUCCCUAUGCCAAACUGUUCAUGAUAGCUUAGGGUUGAUGAGCAGUGUUAGAGCCAGUCAACCAGAAGAGUGGUCUUCAAUGUUACAUUUUUAAUAAAAAUUGAAAAGAAAUGCUAUAUUUAAAAAUGCCUUUAUCUUAUGUGUCAGAGAGAAGGAUGAAUAUAUAGGAUUCGGAAAUGCCAAUGUUAAUCAGAACUGUUGACAACUUAGAUUUGUCUCACUUUUAAACAUGGACUGAGAAUGCACGUGUGCAACACAGAUUCACACAGACACUGAUGGUGCAAACACUUGAACACAAACUGAUGAUGAUUAAAGACAAGUGAAAUGGAAAAAAUCAUCAAAUGAUACUUCCACAAGGAAUACCUGAUGAAAAUGCUGAUCUUAUG
rnacentral:misc_RNA from 1 species